GACGACGCUGGCGGCGUGCCUAACACAUGCAAGUCGAGCGGGGUUGAAGCGAGGGGUAACUCGGACUUCUACCUAGCGGCGGACGGGUGAGUAACGCGUGGGCAACCUGCCUCAAGGUUUGGGAUAACAGCUCGAAAGGGCUGCUAAUACCGGAUAUGCCUGUGGCCUCGCAUGGGGCUAUGAGCAAAGGGGAAACCCGCCUUGAGAUGGGCCCGCGUCCCAUCAGCUAGUUGGUGAGGUGAAGGCUCACCAAGGCGACGACGGGUAGCCGGCCUGAGAGGGUGACCGGCCACACUGGGACUGAGACACGGCCCAGACUCCUACGGGGGGCAGCAGUGGGGGAUCUUGCACAAUGGGCGAAAGCCUGAUGCAGCGACGCCGCGUGAGCGAAGAAGGCCUUCGGGUUGUAAAGCUCUGUCUGGAGGGACGAAGAAAAUGACGGUACCUCCGGAGGAAGCCACGGCUAACUACGUG
rnacentral:rRNA from 1 species